UGAAGUGUAGCUCAGUGCUAUAGUGUUUGCCUAGCAUGCAUGAGGCCCUGGGUUCAAUCCUCAGCACUACCA
rnacentral:tRNA from 1 species